UUAAACAGAGCUCUUCUUUUAAGGAGAUAUAAAUAGUCUAAUAUUGGCCACGACCAUCGAACCCUCUUAAAUUGUCUAUAGUAGUCUUGCAUAAGACUUCACACAAUCAAUUGUACAUGUAUCAGUUAAGCAAUGAUUUCACACGAAUAGUUGUAUAUGUAUCUGUCAAACAAUGAGCUGACACGAGUAAUUGCACAUGUAUCUGUUAAGCAAAUAUUCGAAACACACACACAAACAGUGUGUACAAUUUUGAUGUUUCGUCAGUAAGGAUAACGACUAAUGCUCCUUUGAAAUAUCAUUCUAGAAGUCACAGAAGAACUUCUGACCAAAGGCAGUAAACAUAAUGAUAAAAGUUUAGUAUAAACAAUAUUUUUAUUUAGUUUUCCACUAUCCAUUUAUAAUAAUUUUUUCAUAGGAAUACUAGUUAUUAAUUUAUUGAUUUAAAUAGUCUCUAUAUUAUUGUACAGAGAAAAAUAUUUUAACAAAUAUGUCUAGUUCUAUUUGGUCAUAUGUGAUACCACACAACUAUUCGUCUAAUCUGUAAUUUAUAAUGUAAUGACAUAUUCUAUUCUUUAUUUUCAUAUAAUGUAUACCGGGAAAUAUUUGCCUUGUUUUAUUCACGCCCUUGUUGUCAGCGGGCGAAUUCAAGACUGAGCCAAUUCCAAUGUUUUAAAUUUAUCUCUCUUUAAACAUAACGGUGUCUUGACGAAUUAAAGACAGAGCGAAAUCGUUUUCAAAAGUAGAGGGGCGAAAAUAACACGGGGCGAAUAAACCCAAAAUACAGUAAUUCUUAGUUUAUGUACGGUCUUGUUUUAUUGAAUGACGUGUAACCUGUUACAAAUUGUAAUUACUCAAUAAUGUUGAAAGUAUGAAUGGUUGCUAUUGACUUUGUUUCAUUUUAAAAGUUCUGUGUGAAUGAAGUGCAUUAUAUAUGGUUUGCUAACAUUACAAUUUACUUCUUUAUAUUUGUCGGUUAUAAACUCUUUGAACAAAUGAAG
rnacentral:sRNA from 1 species